UGACUGUUACUUUGAAUUGUUGUGAGCUUUUGCAAAUCGUGUUUUCUGCAUUAGCAGUUUGCAUGUAUUUAGUAGGUUAGAGGUGGGAACUACAGAUCAGAGAAUUGUUCAUGGGAGCAGAGUUAGCAGUAACUUGAGAGGGCAUAGCUAAGUCAAAGACCUACUUCCCCACACUACAUCAUUAGCAAUAACAAUUGCUGAAUGUUCACAGGAUGGCAAUGGUUAUAUCAGUGCAGCAGAACUACGUCACGUCAUGACAAACUUAGGAGAAAAACUAACAGAUGAAGAAGUAGAUGAAAUGAUCAGAGAAGCAGAUAUUGAUGGAGACGGACAAGUCAACUAUGAAGAAUUCGUACAGAUGAUGACUGCAAAAUGAAGACCUACUUUCAACUCCUUUUUCCCCCCUCUAGAAGAAUCAAAUUGAAUCUUUUACUUACCUCUUGC
rnacentral:sRNA from 1 species